AGAGAGAGACAUGCGCGCAUAUCAAUAAGCGGAGGAAAAGAAACUAACAAGGAUUCCCUUAGUAACGGCGAGUGAAGCGGGAAGAGCUCAAAUUUGAAAUCUUCAAGGUUUUACCUUGACGAAUUGUAGUUUAAAGGAAGUGUUUUCUGCUGAAGUUUUGGUAAAAGUUCUUUGGAAUAGGACAUCAUAGAGGGUGAGAAUCCCGUAUUUGACCAUUAUUUUCAGCUUUGUGAUACACUUUCAAAGAGUCGGAUUGUUUGGGAAUGCAGUCCAAAAUGGGUGGUAAAUUUCAUCUAAAGCUAAAUAUUGGCGAGAGACCGAUAGCGAACAAGUACCGUGAGGGAAAGAUGAAAAGAACUUUGAAAAGAGAGUUAAACAGUACGUGAAAUUGUCAAAAGGGAAGCGUUUGACACCAGUGUUGUUUUCUCGAAAAUCAAUUAAAAAUGGCUCGAUUUUGUAUUGUUGAGACCUUAAAAGCUCACUGUACAUUUUUCGUGUCUUUUUUAAUGCACGUUUCGUUUAACAAGUCAACAUCAGUUUCUUUUGUUGUAAAAGGGUCAUUGGAAGGUGGCUUUCUUUUCGGAGAAAGUGUUUAUAGCCUUUGGCCUCUGCAAUCGAAGAGACUGAGGUCUGCAGCGUAGACUCUUCGGGGUUAGAUACAUUUGCGCUAAGUUAUAGCUUUUUAUAGACAACUUGUUGACUAUAAUUAGUCUUGUAGCUUACUCGCUUAUGCUAUUUUACCUACGCUUAGGAUGUUGAAGUCAUCGUAUCGCGC
rnacentral:rRNA from 1 species